rnacentral:rRNA from 1 species
UACGAGGGGGGCAAAUGUUGUUCGGAAUCACUGGGCGUAAAGGGAGCGUAGGCGGGUUCUUAAGUUAGGUGUUUAAUCCCGGGGCCCAACCCCGGACCGGCACUUAAAACUGGGAAUCUUGAAUAGUGGAGAGGUCAGUGGAAUUGGAGAUGUAGCGGUGGAAUGCGUAGAGAUCUCCAAGAACACCAGUUGCGAAGGCGGCUGACUGGACACAUAUUGACGCUGAGGCUCGAAAGCAUGGGGAGCAAACAGG